CCAACACAACACCAAUAAACCAAACAACAUAAAAUAGAAGCAAAACAUGUAAGAUAAAAAAUGAGGAAACUCAAUACGAACAACAAUGCAUAACGGAACCAUACUCGACGCUCACCGCUAAAAUUAUGCCUCCCCGUCCGGAUCUGGGAAAUCGAGAGACAAGACUAUGUGAAAGGCAAGUUAGAGAGGAUGAAGGGGCGCCGCCACCGCUGGUCGGCCGAUCGUCCCAUGUGUUUUGAAACUAACCUGUGUGAGAGAGACUUACGAAAGAGAGGUGAAUGUGUUAGUUUCUUUUGUUACUUCUGUAACAUGCGACGAAAGAGAGGAGAGUCUUUUAUUC